rnacentral:rRNA from 1 species
AUGGUCUUGGCCUUGGCAGUGAUUCGCAAAGGGGCCUUGCGGAGACAACCCAACGAAGGCAUGCUGCGAUCGAAAGGGCAUGGGUCUUCCGCCCGCAGGGAACAGAACAUGGAGGCAACUGCGGCUGAUGCGACCAAGCAGAACAGCCAGCAAGGCCAACGUGGCCAUGGUGGAUAUGAACGAGAUGGGCCAGGAGGUGAUGCAGGGGGUCGGACGUCGCGGACAACGUUAGAACGAGGCACGAGGAGAAGCAACGGGGAUGGACAGAGGAGAUGGGAUCACUGUUGGUGUCGUUGGUGGUUCUCCGGCAACGAGGUGCACUGGGGCGGUGCUGCUGCCAACUGCUAG